ensembl:lncRNA
CUAUGUUAUUUACAGCAUGUACUUGGUACAGAUUACAGUCACUCAGAUGAAGGGGGAGAAAAAAGGGAACUAGAAGUAAUAAUAAAAUGGAAAAAAAAAAAAAAAGCAGGAAAGCAAUUGAAGGACAGCACGGUGUGCUGCACAAAGAUUCAAAUAAGGAACUUGCAGUGCAACAUGUUUGUGCACACAUGCAUAGAAAAUCAUAUUUUGCUUUUGAUCAAUUGCACAGAGCAAAAAUACGGGUUAUGCAGAACAGCAGCACAAAAUAAACCUGCUAUGGAAAUGUAACUCAAUCAUGACCUCUGAUUGCCAGCUUCUCCCAUGUGCAGCAUCGCUGACUCAGAGGCAGGAAGUGCUAUUCUAGCUACCUGUUCCUACUCACUCUGUAUUUACAGACCUCAAGUAAAAUCACAACCUGCUCCGCACCCACUUCACCCCACCCUCAUAGCCAAAGCCAGCUACAGAUUGGCACGGAGUUGCACUUGUUGUCACGCUCCCUCCCCAUGGUUUACAUUUGCUCCGAGAUGUUCUGGGUAUUUCCUAUCUCAGUUUCUGCUUUCCACUGUGGGUUGCCUCCCCAUGGAACGAUUUAUUAUUACUCCAGUCUCUACCGACAACGCAAACAAAGCAGGUACAAGCUGACGCAACUCUGGAAAGUGCUGUACCAAACACUGAUGCAACCCCCCGGAGAGAUGCGAUUACUCCCCCGGAGUGUGUGGGAUGAGGAUGCCCUGCUUGCUCUCAUCUUGACUCUUGCUUUCGCCUUUGCCUGCCAGCACAAAACCUGGCACCGCUCUGUAACUCACGCCUUCCCAGUCUGCGGCUUGGAAGAGCUCUGGUUGUGCCCCGUCGCCAAAUGUUCCCAGGGAUGUUUUGUUUGGCUCCAGCAAGAAGCAAAUCUGACCCAAAGCUAG